rnacentral:rRNA from 1 species
UACAGAGGUCUCAAGCGUUUGUUCGGAUUCAUUGGGCGUAAAGGGUGCGUAGGCGGCGCGGUAAGUCGGGUGUGAAAUCUCGGAGCUUAACUCCGAAACUGCAUUCGAUACUGCCGUGCUUGAGGACUGGAGAGGAGACUGGAAUUUACGGUGUAGCGGUGAAAUGCGUAGAUAUCGUAAGGAAGACCAGUGGCGAAAGGCGG